rnacentral:rRNA from 1 species
GGGUCAGUAGGUUGGUCGUGCCACCGGUACGUACUGGUCUCACUGAUUCCUCCUUCCUGAAGAACCGUAAUGCCAUUAAUUUGGUGUUGCGGGGAAACAGGACUGUUACUUUGAACAAAUUAGAGUGUUUAAAGCAAGCUAACGCUUGAAUACAUUAGCAUGGAAUAAUGAAAUAGGACGAUCGAUCCUAUUUUGUUGGUUUCUAGGAUUGACGUA